CGACAACCCAUAUCAAGGGCGCCAUUUUGUUUCCAUGCUUGCUACGUAAAAAAUCUGUCUAAAAUCAUACUAGGCUACUGCUGUUUCUACAUUAAAAAGCUCGAUUUGUGUCGUUUCCUGAUCAUCGUGGUUUCGGGAGAGACGUUGUAUUGUUCAAACAACCGAUCUGAACAGUUCUGACGCUCUUCAAGGAAAACCUCGCGCUUUGGCCUCGG